rnacentral:rRNA from 1 species
CCUACGGGAGGCAGCAGUGGGGAAUAUUGCACAAUGGGCGCAAGCCUGAUGCAGCGACGCCGCGUGGGGGAUGACGGCCUUCGGGUUGUAAACUCCUUUCGCUAGGGACGAAGCUUUUUGUGACGGUACCUAGAUAAGAAGCACCGGCUAACUACGUGCCAGCAGCCGCGGUAAUACGUAGGGUGCGAGCGUUGUCCGGAAUUACUGGGCGUAAAGGGCUCGUAGGUGGUUUGUCGCGUCGUCUGUGAAAUUCCGGGGCUUAACUCCGGGCGUGCAGGCGAUACGGGCAUAACUUGAGUACUGUAGGGGUAACUGGAAUUCCUGGUGUAGCGGUGAAAUGCGCAGAUAUCAGGAGGAACACCGAUGGCGAAGGCAGGUUACUGGGCAGUUACUGACGCUGAGGAGCGAAAGCAUGGGUAGCGAACAGGAUUAGAUACCCUGGUAGUCCAUGCCGUAAACGGUGGGCGCUAGGUGUGAGGGUCUUUUCACGACUUUCGUGCCGUAGCUAACGCAUUAAGCGCCCGCCUGGGGAGUACGGCCGCAAGGCUAAAACUCAAAGAUAGUACGGCGNGAGAGCGCGACGACGACGACGAGGAGGAG